rnacentral:rRNA from 1 species
GACGAACGCUGGCGGCGUGCCUAAUACAUGCAAGUCGAGCGCUGAAGGUUGGUACUUGUACCAACUGGAUGAGCAGCGAACGGGUGAGUAACGCGUGGGGAAUCUGCCUUUGAGCGGGGGACAACAUCGGGAAACGAAUGCUAAUACCGCAUAAAAACUUUAAACACAAGGUUCAAGUUUGAAAGAUGCAAUUGCAUCACUCAAAGAUGAUCCCGCGUUGUAUUAGCUAGUUGGUGGGGGUAAGGCCCACCAAGGCGAUGAUACAUAGCCGAACUGGGAGGGUGGUCGGCCACCAUGGGACUGGGACCCGGCCCAAACUCCUUCGGGAGGCCGCAGUAGGGGAUCUUUGGCAAUGGGGGAAAGUCCGACCGAGCAACGCCGCGUGAGUGAAGAAGGUUUUCGGAUCGUUAAACUCUUUUUGUUGGGAAGAAAGAUGGUGAGAGUGGAAAGCUCAUCAAGUGACGGUAACUACCCAGAAAGCGACGGCUAACUACGUG